rnacentral:rRNA from 1 species
UACGUAGGGGGCAAGCGUUGUCCGGAAUUAUUGGGCGUAAAGGGCUCGUAGGCGGUCUGUUGCGUCGGGAGUGAAAACUCAGGGCUUAACCCUGAGCCUGCUUCCGAUACGGGCAGACUGGAGGUAUGCAGGGGAGAACGGAAUUCCUGGUGUAGCGGUGAAAUGCGCAGAUAUCAGGAGGAACACCGGUGGCGAAGGCGGUUCUCUGGGCAUGUCCUGACGCUGAGGAGCGAAAGUGUGGGGAGCAAACAGG